AUGAGUUGGUUGCGAGAUCUUAUGGGUUUCACCUCUAGCCUACCCCAAUUUGUUUGGGAUGCUUUGUUGUUGUAUUUUAUCACACACACAGAGAGUAGUAUUGUCUUGCUAUUGUCAUGCCUUCACCCUUCACAUUUCCAUAUCCGGUUCAGUGGAGAGAUGACUAAAUUCGUCAUGGCUUUUCUUCUCAGCCAUGGAAUCGACAUGGCCACAGCUUCAACAGUUUGGCGUGACCAAGAUUUCUUCAGACACUGCCCAUGGUUCCGGUGCAGCAAAAAUGGACCUGAGAUCCGGUUUCCGCUCCAACUUGAAUCCAGCAAUUCAUCACGUGGAGCAAUAUGCGCGAAGAUAGAAUGCUCUGGCCAAGACACUGUCCUACUUCACCCAGUUCUUGGCCCAUUCAAUGUCACUGCCAGAGACUAUAGCUUAUCAUCGCCCCGCUUGUGCAAGCGUGCCAUAAAGUUCAGAAGUUCAUCUCGCGGAGUCUACCAGCUAACUCCAACCAUCAGUGUAGUCUCUAUAUGGUGA
rnacentral:rRNA from 1 species